AUGGACAAACCAAGGCCCACCGGCGACCAUGCACUCAGAGCACCGACGCCGCCCAACGCAGCUCCGGCGAUGUCCAAGAUCACCGUGGACGCGUCCCUCGCGGGCGCUGUCAUCGGGCGGGGCGGAGCGACCAUCAGGGAGAUAUCCCGGGCCAGCGGCGCCAGGCUGCGCAUCCGCGACCACGAGCGGGACGCCGGCUUGAAGAACGUGGAGCUGGAGGGCACGCCCGAUCAGAUCAGGCACGCCAGCGCUAUGGUCUGGGAGCAUCUCCCGGUGCUCGGCGGAGGGCGAUAUAACGGCGUCAAGACCAGGCUGUGCGCGCACUUUGCCAGAGGAUCCUGCACGUAUGGCGACGGCUGCCGCUUUGCCCACAGCGAGAGCGAGCUACGCAGGCCGGCUCCUGCUCCUCGAGAUCCGUGUGGUUGGUAG
rnacentral:rRNA from 1 species